rnacentral:rRNA from 1 species
AACGAACGCUGGCGGCAUGCCUAAUACAUGCAAGUCGAACGAACUCUUCGGAGUUAGUGGCGCACGGGUGCGUAACGCGUGGGAAUCUACCCAGAGGUUCGGAAUAACGGUUGGAAACGACUGCUAAUACCGGAUGAUGUCGAGAGACCAAAGAUUUAUCGCCUUUGGAUGAGCCCGCGUAAGAUUAGCUAGUUGGUGAGGUAAAGGCUCACCAAGGCUACGAUCUUUAGCUGGUCUGAGAGGAUGAUCAGCCACACUGGGACUGAGACACGGCCCAGACUCCUACGGGAGGCAGCAGUAGGGAAUAUUGGACAAUGGGGGCAACCCUGAUCCAGCAAUGCCGCGUGAGUGAUGAAGGCCUUAGGGUUGUAAAGCUCUUUUACCCGGGAUGAUAAUGACAGUACCGGGAGAAUAAGCUCCGGCUAACUCCGUGCCAGCCGCCGCCGUAACAC